rnacentral:miRNA from 1 species
UGCCUGGGCUCAGUGAUCGUCUCUGCUCGCUAUAGGGCAGCAGCCAGAGGGGACACCACAGGCUUCCAGAGG